CCUACGGGCGGCAGCAGUGAGGAAUAUUGGUCAAUGGGCGCGAGCCUGAACCAGCCAAGUCGCGUGAGGGAUGACGGUCCUAUGGAUUGUAAACCUCUUUUAUCUGGGAGUAAAAUGCUCCACGCGUGGCGUUUUGUAUGUACCCUAUGAAUAAGGAUCGGCUAACUCCGUGCCAGCAGCCGCGGUAAUACGGAGGAUCCGAGCGUUAUCCGGAUUUAUUGGGUUUAAAGGGGGCGUAGGCGGACUUUUAAGUCAGUGGUGAAAGUUUGUGGCUCAACCUUAAAAUUGCAGUUGAAACUGGAAGUCAUGAGUACAUGAGAGGCAGGCGGAAUUCGUGGUGUAGCGGUGAAAUGCGUAGAUAUCACGAAGAACUCCGAUUGCGAAGGCAGUUCACUGGACCGCAACUGACGCGGAGGCUCGAAAGUGUGGGGAUCAAACAGGAUGAGAUACCCGGGUAGUC
rnacentral:rRNA from 1 species